AUUCAUUCCCUCGGUUGCCUGAAAUCCAUGAGCAGAAACGAGCACAUUGCUGUUUCCUUCUUCGGACUAUGCAUCCCUGGGACUUUUUCCUCAAGUACUUUGACUGAAUAAUCAAAGUGUGCUAUCAUUAAAGCUAUUACCAGAGUUUCCACGGAUGCCCUCCAGCAGAGAUGAUGAUAUCAGAGCCGUCAGAAGCUGACAAAGGAAGGACAGCGAUGUCUGCGUCUGGAAAGAGAGUCAUAGGGAAGAGGUGUGUUGCAUCGGGGUCACAUCCAAAAGUUGCAAGACACUGGCCCUUGUGGAUUGGAGUUUGACACCCUGGUUUUCUCACAACAGUUCCUACGGAAGUCACUUGAAGCUAAAGCCGCCCAUGUGGAUUUUAGUGGUUGGAAGUGGAGCUACCAGAGGUAAAAAAAAAUGUAAAUAUGCAAAAAUUCAGGUAUUUUGAAGACUAAAAUACUGCAUGAUAAUAACACAAAUUUAAAAUUAUUAGAAGAAGCCAUUUUCAGUUUACACUUUUUUCAAGGCUCUUUUAACAAAUGUGGAUUUUAUUACCACCAAUACAAAUAUUGAUACUUUCAUAUAAAUAAGUUUAUAAAGGUUUGCCGUCAUUAUUUUUAUGUUUGUAGUUUUAAAAUUUAGGAGAUUUUAGAUUUAGAUUUUGUGGCUGUAAAAUCUAACAGGUAACCAUCUAAAAGCACCAAAAUAAUAAUCUAAUCUGAGACCUUGGAGAAGGGCGUGAUCAUUAUGCUUACUUAUUACCCACCAAAGGAUUAUUUACUGUCUGUUAACUGUUGUUUUGUGAAUAAUAAACACCGUUUUGUAUAAAUGGUUCAUAUUAGCAAACAAUUUUAAGCAGAUACAAUAUGAAUUCAAGCACUGAUGAGACAACAAGUUAAAUCUGUGGGCCUGGUUGGUGAUACGGAGGUUGGCAGCACGCAAAAUCUCAGCAUCCCAGCAGCACUAAGGGUGAGAAGGCAAUCAGUCAACUAAGAGGGGAGUCCAAGUAAAAACUGCUGUUGCACCAUUAAUGCUGUCCAGUUUUUUUUCUUCUUCAUUGUUGGGGCAGAGUGUUUCUCCACACGUGUCUUCUGUCUUCCCUCUACCCCUGACCGACCUGGUCCUUUUUUGGACACCGGAGGCUGGAGGAGUAUCAGGUCAAAGCAGAAGAGAAAGCAGCACGCAUCCUGCCUGUCAUACGGGGCCCAGAAGACGGAGCGGCCGGGUCCUGCAGGACCAACUGGCAGAUGGUUGCCUCAGGAUAAUGACCAGGUGACAUCUGCAGAGUGAACAAGCCAUCAGGCCAACAGACUAACCUUCCUCUCCACCAGGGAAGCUAACCUGGCCUUUCUCCACCUCCUCUUCCUCCUCCUGCCAAUCCAUCAGGUUACACCCACAACCCAAUAAGCAGACCAGAACUUUAUCGAUUCACUAAAUUUCUCACCACAAAAAAGUGUGAGAAAGUCCUA